rnacentral:sRNA from 1 species
AUGGCUGUCGUCAGCUCGUGUCGUGAGAUGUUGGGUUAAGUCCCGUAACGAGCGCAACCCUUGUCCUUAGUUGCCAGCACAUAAUGGUGGGAACUCUAAGGAGACUGCCGGUGACAAACCGGAGGAAGGUGGGGACGACGUCAAGUCAUCAUGGCCCUUACGACCUGGGCUACACACGUGCUACAAUGGCCAGUACAGAGGGCUGCAAACCCGCGAGGGGGAGCUAAUCUCACAAAGCUGGUCGUAGUCCGGAUCGCAGUCUGCAACUCGACUGCGUGAAGUUGGAAUCGCUAGUAAUCGUGAAUCAGAAUGUCACGGUGAAUACGUUCCCGGGCCUUGUACACACCGCCCGUCACACCAUGGGAGUAGGUUGCAAAAGAAGUAGCUAGGCUAACCUUCGGGAGGCCGGUUACCACUUUGUGAUUUAUGACUGGGGUGAAGUCGUAACAAGGUAGCCCUAGGGGAACCUGGGGCUGGAUCACCUCCUUAAACGAAUAUCCUUACGAUUAGUAAGUGCUCACACGCAUUGCUUGAUUAUUUAUGACUAGCAGUAAAGUACGGUAUGGCGACCGGGCUGCUAAGACUCGGUUGCAUCUGAAUUGGGUCUGUAGCUCAGUUGGUUAGAGCGCACCCCUGAUAAGGGUGAGGUCGGUGGUUCAAAUCCACCCAGACCCACCAAUUCCCUAUAUGGGGCUAUAGCUCAGCUGGGAGAGCGCCUGCCUUGCACGCAGGAGGUCAGCGGUUCGAUCCCGCUUAGCUCCACCACUUUACUCAUCAGAAGUUAGCGAUAAGCGACUCUCGUUUAUCACUGACUUUUUACGUCAGCUGCUCUUUAAAAAGGUAAUUAUUGAAUACUGAAAAUUUUUUCAAGGCCAGUGUGUAUUUUUUACACAUCUGUCCGGCGAAAUUGUUACAACUACUAUGAAAAUAGAUAGUCGCAUCAAAAUCUUGCUAGCUUGUGCUGUAUGGUCAAGCGAGUAAGCGCAUACGGUGGAUGCCUUGGCAGUUGGAGGCGAUGAAGGACGUAGGAGCCUGCGAUAAGCUUCGGGGAGGUGGCAAACACCCUUUGAUCCGAAGAUUUCCGAAUGGGGAAACCCGG